UACGGAGGGGGCUAGCGUUGUUCGGAAUUACUGGGCGUAAAGCGCACGUAGGCGGCUUGGUAAGUUAGAGGUGAAAGCCUGGAGCUCAACUCCAGAAUUGCCUUUAAGACUGCCGAGCUAGCAGGUGAGAGAGGUGAGUGGAAUUCCGGGUGUAGAGGUGAAAUUCGUAGAUAUUCGGAAGAACACCAGUGGCGAAGGCGGCUCACUGGCUCAUACUGGACGCUGAGGUGCGAAAGCGUGGGGAGCAAACAGG
rnacentral:rRNA from 1 species